rnacentral:rRNA from 1 species
AUUGAACGCUGGCGGCGUGCUUAACACAUGCACGUCGAACGAAGUGGCGAACGGGUGAGUAACGCGCAAUCAACCUGCCCUUCAGAGGGGGACAACAGUUGGAAACGACUGCUAAUACCGCAUACUGAAGGAGGGGAUUGCGUCUGAUUAGCUAGUUGGAGGGGUAACGGCCCACCAAGGCGAUGAUCAGGAGACGGGCUGAGAGUAUGAACGGCCACAUUGGGACUGAGAGACGUCCCAGACUCCUACGGGAGGCAGCAGUGGGGAAUCUUCCGCAAUGGACGAAAGUCUGACGGAGCAACGCGGCGUGAGUGAUGACGGCCUUCGGGUUGUAAAGCUCUGUUAAUCGGGACGCGGUACCGGAAUAGAAAGCCACGGCUAACUACCUGCCAGCAGCCGCGGUAAUUC